AGUGAACGCUGGCGGCAGGCCUAACACAUGCAAGUCGAGCGGCAGCGGGUCCUUCGGGAUGCCGGCGAGCGGCGGACGGGUGAGGAAUACAUCGGAAUCUGCCCUGUCGUGGGGGAUAACCUAGGGAAACUUAGGCUAAUACCGCAUACGACCUACGGGUGAAAGCGGGGGAUCGCAAGACCUCGCGCGACAGGAUGAGCCGAUGUCCGAUUAGCUAGUUGGC
rnacentral:rRNA from 1 species